rnacentral:rRNA from 1 species
UACGAAGGGGGCUAGCGUUGCUCGGAAUGACUGGGCGUAAAGGGCGCGUAGGCGGAUGGCACAGUCAGAUGUGAAAUUCCCGGGCUUAACCUGGGGGCUGCAUUUGAUACGUGUUGUCUUGAGUUCGGAAGAGGGUCGUGGAAUUCCCAGUGUAGAGGUGAAAUUCGUAGAUAUUGGGGAGAACACCGGUGGCGAAGGCGGCGACCUGGUCCGACACUGACGCUGAGGCGCGAAAGCGUGGGGAGCAAACAGG